UACGAAGGGGGGCUAGCGUUGCUCGGAAUCACUGGGCGUAAAGGGUGCGUAGGCGGGUCUUUUAAGUCAGGGGUGAAAUCCUGGAGCUCAACUCCAGAACUGCCUUUGAUACUGAAGAUCUUGAGUUCGGGAGAGGUGAGUGGAACUGCGAGUGUAGAGGUGAAAUUCGUAGAUAUUCGCAAGAACACCAGUGGCGAAGGCGGCUCACUGGCCCGAGACUGACGCUGAGGCGCGAAAGCGUGGGGAGCAAACAGGG
rnacentral:rRNA from 1 species